UACGUAGGGUGCAAGCGUUGUCCGGAAUUACUGGGCGUAAAGCGUGCGCAGGCGGUUCGCUAAGACAGGUGUGAAAUCCCCGGGCUUAACCUGGGAACUGCAUUUGUGACUGCAUCGCUGGAGUGCGGCAGAGGGGGAUGGAAUUCCGGCGUGUAGCAGUGAAAUGCGUAGAUAUGCGGAGGAACACCGAUGGCGAAGGCAAUCCCCUGGGCCUGCACUGACGCUCAUGCACGAAAGCGUGGGGAGCAAACAGG
rnacentral:rRNA from 1 species